rnacentral:rRNA from 1 species
UACGGAGGGUGCAAGCGUUAUCCGGAUUCACUGGUUUAAAGGGUGCGUAGGUGGGUCUGAAAGUCAGUGGGUGAAAUCUCCGGGCUCAACCCGGAAAACUGCCAUUGAUACUACCAAGGUCUUGAAUUUUCUGGAGGAUAGUCGGAAUAUGUCAUGUAGCGGUGAAAUGCUUAGAUAUGACAUAGAACACCAAUUGCGCAGGCAGCUAUCUACAGGAAUAUUGACACUGAGGCACGAAAGCGUGGGGAUCAAACAGG